rnacentral:rRNA from 1 species
GUAGGUGGCAAGCGUUGUCCGGAAUUAUUGGGCGUAAAGCGCGCGCAGGCGGUUCUUUAAGUCUAAUGUGAGAGCCCACGGCUCAACCGUGGAGGGUCAUUGGAAACUGGAGAACUUGAGUACAGAAGAGGAAAGCGGAAUUCCACGUGUAGCGGUGAAAUGCGUAGAGAUGUGGAGGAACACCAGUGGCGAAGGCGGCUUUCUGGUCUGUAACUGACGCUGAGGCGCGAAAGCGUGGGGAGCAAACAGGGAUUAGAUACCCUGGUAGUCCACGCCGUAAACGAUGAGUGCUAAGUGUUAGGGGGUUUCCGCCCCCUUAGUGCUGCAGCUAACGCAUUAAGCACUCCGCCUGGGGAUACGGCCGCAAGGCUG